GAUUCAAUGGCUCAAUGGUAAAGCGUUCGCCUCGGAGCCAGAGGGCCCCGGGUUCGUUCCCCGAUGGGGUCG
rnacentral:tRNA from 1 species